AAAACAUUCAAAAAAGAUAAUCAAUAUUCAUAUUUCAUUUUCUACCGAAUGAAAAAAUGAUUAUGUUUUUUUUUGUGGAAUCUUUUUUUUUUGUGAAAAAAAUAGUAAAGCUUUAAAAUAGCUUCAUCUUACUAGAAGUCAGCUGUUUGAAUCCCAUGUUAAACACUAUUUGUUUAAGCCUUACAAUACCUGGUUCACCCAUGGUUCGCUUGUCUAGUUCACUGGAUUUUCCAAGAAACCAGCUGGUUUGGAUAUUUUCUACUGGUCCAAAUGUCUUUCUGCUCCAUUAGGAAACUGGAUUCACCAGGGGUCUGGUUCACUGAUUUUCUGGUCCUGUCAGCCAGCCUGAUAUCUGUUUAAUAACCAUGAGAAUACCACAAGUCCAAAUAUAAAAAGUCAUUGUAAAACUGAAAAAUAGUUUUAACACCCAUUAGAGUUGUCAAUUGAAUCGCAAAUUAUGUCCUCUAGUUUUUAAUGCGUUUUUUGAACUUUGCUUUGGAAAGCAUAACAGCAUAAUUCCUUCUGUAAUUUUAUUUAGUUAAAAAGACAUAAUAGAGAAAUAGCGAGGAAUAGAAGAAUUAGGCUUCCAUUUGGCUAAUUUUACGGUCUCUCUAGACAAAAGGGGAUGGCAAGGUUUUAAAUACAGUAUGGCAUCCUAAACCUUUUUUCCACUGGAAUGGUAUGGUAUCGAUA
rnacentral:lncRNA from 1 species